rnacentral:rRNA from 1 species
UACGUAGGUGGCAAGCGUUGUCCGGAUUUACUGGGCGUAAAGAGCGCGCAGGCGGUCGUUCAAGUCGCGUGUGAAAGCCCCCGGCUCAACUGGGGAGGGUCACGCGAUACUGAUCGACUCGAAGGCAGGAGAGGGAAGUGGAAUUCCCGGUGUAGUGGUGAAAUGCGUAGAUAUCGGGAGGAACACCAGUGGCGAAGGCGGCUCACUGGUCCGGUACUGACGCUGAGGUGCGAAAGCGUGGGGAGCAAACAGG